rnacentral:lncRNA from 1 species
GACUGUCCUGAACUCAUCAAAGAUGAAACUUGGCACGUGGGCCUCGGCCACCUUUAAAGACAGAAAAACAACAGAUUAUUGUACACAUGUAAAAUGUAAUAUACCAGAUAAAUAUCUAUAGUAUUGUUUUUUUCAUGGGUGUUGUUGCAUAUCCUAAUUUAAUCCUAAUCUAAUCCCAAUCCUAAUCCCAAUCCUAAUCCAAUCCAAAUCUAAUCCAAUCCUAAUCCAAAUUCUAACCCAAUCCUAAUCCAAUCCUAACCCAAUCCUAAUCUAAUCCUAAUCCAAUCCUAACCCAAUCCUAAUCUAAUCUAAUCCUAAUCCCAAUCCUAAUCCCAAUCCUAAUCAAAUCCGAAUCCAAUCCGAAUCCAAAUCCUAACCCAAUCCUAAUCUUAAUAUAAUCCUAAUCUAAUCCUAAUGUAAUCCUAAUAUAAUCCUAAUCCUAAUCCAAUCCUAACCCAAUCCUAAUCUAAUCUAAUCCUACCUUGCGAGGCAGUUUGGUGUAGCGUACGUAAUCCUCCAGAAACAUCAGAGCUCCCACCACAUCGGACGGCAUGUCCGGGAUCUUCUGACUGGUGCACUGUUCCAUGAUGGAGCGUAGAAUUGCCCAAUGAGAGCCAGGAACUGCUCUGUGUAUCUGGAGUGGAACUGCUUCAGCAGAGUGAGCAGGCCAAGAACCAGAGGAGACCAGUCUACCGGUCGGUGGCUUUCCUGCACGUCAUCCCUGGACAAACAGGAGAAUACAGCCAAUCACAUGUGGGAUACACUCAAUAUGGGUCAGGACCAGCCAAUCACAUGGUGGGACACACUCAAUAUGGGUCAGGACCAGCCAAUCACAUGGUGGGACACACUCAAUAUGGGUCAGGACCAGCCAAUCACAUGGACACACUUAACAUGGGUCAGGACCAGCCAAUCACAUGGUGGGACACACUCAAAAUGGGUCAGGACCAGCCAAUCACAUGGUAGGGACACACUCAAUAUAUGGGUCACCUCAUUGGGUCACUGCCAGCCAACCCAACCCAGUCACCGCGCCCAGCCAACCCAACCCAACCCCAGUACCCGCAGCCAACCCAACCAACCCAGUCACCUGCCAGCCACCCAACCCAACCCCAGUCACUGCCAGCCAACCCAACCCAACCCAUCACCUGCCAGCCAACCCAACCCACCCCAGUCACCUGCCAGCCAACCAACCCAACCCCAGUCACCGGCCAGCCAACCAACCCAACCCCAGUCACCUGCAGCCAACCCAACCCCAGUCACCUGCCAGCCAACCCAAC